rnacentral:rRNA from 1 species
ACUGUCAGGUGGGCAGUUUGACUGGGGCGGUCGCCUCCCAAAAGGUAACGGAGGCGCUCAAAGGUUCUCUCAGUACGGUCGGAAAUCGUACGUAGAGUGUAAAGGCAAAAGAGAGCUUGAUUGCAAGACAUACAGGUCGAGCAAGGAUGAAAAUCGGACUUAGUGAUCCGGUGGUUCUGCGUGGAAGGGCCAUCGCUCAACGGAUAAAAGCUACCCUGGGGAUAACAGGCUUAUCUCCCCCAAGAGUCCACAUCGACGGGGAGGUUUGGCACCUCGAUGUCGGCUCAUCACAUCCUGGGGCUGUAGUAGGUCCCAAGGGUUGGGCUGUUCGCCCAUUAAAGUGGUACGCGAGCUGGGUUCAGAACGUCGUGAGACAGUUCGGUCCCUAUCCGUCGCAGGCGUAGGAAAUUUGAGAAGACCUGUCCUUAGUACGAGAGGACCGGGAUGGACGUACCUCUGGUGUACCAGUUGUC